GCCGCUCUCCGUCCCCACCUCCGAUGCUCCGCCUCUCGUGGUUCCGUCCUUAUCAACCCCAUAACGACGCCAUCAAUUCCAAUCUCUGGCGCUAAGAUCCAGCUCCCUCCGGUGCCAAUCAAUUCCAAUACUUUCUGAUGUGCAAGGAAACUAGAUGCAAGUACAGGCGUGCUUAUUCGGUGGGAUUUGAUAAGGAGCCAUUGCUUAUUAAGGAGAUUUUUGAGUACGACAAGAAUAACUGCAGAGAAACUACUAGGCUUGAGCUGUUUAGAGCGGAUCUCUGGCUGAAAGAUGUGGGUGAAGGUGGAGAGCAUCGGUGAUCGAGUGCUUGUGAUUUCUGAGGGUUGGUCUGUUUCAUUGUUGGCAGCUAGAGGAAACCGUAUUUACUUUCCUUCAGAGUCAUGCUACUUGUUGGAGGGUGUUUGAUUUAGGUAGUACAUCGGUGAUGACAGACAUGCCAUUUCCGAGGUAAUACCUUGCGGAUUGAGUAUUGUUUUGAGGAACUAUUCAUGCCCCGCUGAUGUUAGUCUUUGGAUUCGAGGUUAAGCACCCGAAUGGUUUCAAGAUGCAAUCGAGAAUUAAAUUUCUACAAUCGAUAAACAGUGAAGGGGUCGCAAAGAAGGAAGAGAGGGAGAGAGAGAUGGAGAGAGAGAGAGAGCCCAUCUGGUCCCUGUAUUGAACUGGCAUUCUCUUUCGGUUUGGGGUUUAACUCCAUUGUUUCAUGUUUAAAAAAUAUGCAUGUGGUUCUACAUCUGUAUAUAUAUUUAAAGAAAUAACAUUGGGAACUUUUAUGGCUCAGCAAAUGGGGAGAACGAGACAGGAAGUUUUUCCACAUUAAUUACAUUGAUCAGAAUGUUUAUUUGUGUUUGGUAUAUAUUGUAUCAAUAUUUAUUUUAUGUUUGAUUAUAUGUAUGUGUAUGAUAUUGUUAUCUGAGUUGAGUUAUUAUAGCAUCCAAGAUACAUAUAAUAUAUAUUCGAAUUUAAUAGUUGGAUUGAA